UUUCACUGUGUAGGUGGAGCCUGAAGUUUCCUAUGCCACCAUCAGCUACACCAACAAUAGCAACAGUAAAACCCGGGUUCAUCGUGAUGGUGAAGGCGAUGCUGUGACCUACAGCAUGGUGAAGGCUCCAUCCUCUGCAUCCACUGCUGAUCCCAGCAACCUCUAUUCUACUGUCAAUGUUGGAUUCACAUAGCUCACGCAGUUGAAAAAAGGACUCAUAUUUAAUGAAGCAGUCGAAAAAAGGACUCGUAUUUAAUGAAAAGGACAUUUUGGUUUUGACUUGAGACAGUGUGAUAGCAACAUGCUAAUUACGUUAUUGCUGUUGUUAGCUAGAUUGCUUCACAAGGUUGUCUUAAUGUUGUUUUCAUGGAUUUUGAGCUUAAUGUUUCCAAGAGAUUUAAUAAAAUGCCAGUUAUUGGAACAGUGCCGAGCUGAAACCCCCACAGGCAACCCGUGCCUCCCCCCCAACCAAAGAAACAUCAACACCUAAAUUAAAAAAUUAUAGUUUUUUACAAUAUGUUUAUGAAAAUACAGUUGGUUUCGUUGCUACUUUUACAUGACUAUGAACUGCUCAGAAUCUCUAAAAGACAGCUGGGUGAACAGAAAACACAAUUAUUACACCAGAUAUUCAUGUUUAUGUUUCCUUUUUUAGGUUAGCACAAAACUGUGUAAAUAAAUGUGUCUUUCUCUCUUUGUCUCUCAAGACAUUGUAAACAUUUCAUUGUAUAAAGCUGAACCAGUAUUUUUCCAUAACUUAAAGCAAGUAUCAAUAUCUACAUGUAUCCAAAAAAGCAUUCAGUUCUCUGUAACUAAAAUAGCAAUAAAAUAAAGAUCUGUCUCUGUUCUGUAA